UACGAAGGGGGCUAGCGUUGCUCGGAAUCACUGGGCGUAAAGGGUGCGUAGGCGGGUCUUUAAGUCAGGGGUGAAAUCCUGGAGCUCAACUCCAGAACUGCCUUUGAUACUGAAGAUCUUGAGUUCGGGAGAGGUGAGUGGAGCUGCGAGUGUAGAGGUGAAAUUCGUAGAUAUUCGCAAGAACACCAGUGGCGAAGGCGGCUGACUGGUCCGGUUCUGACGCUGAGGCGCGAAAGCGUGGGGAGCAAACAGG
rnacentral:rRNA from 1 species